GACGAACGCUGGCGGCGUGCUUAACACAUGCAAGUCGAGCGGAAAGGCCCACUUGUGGGUACUCGAGCGGCGAACGGGUGAGUAACACGUGAGUAAUCUGCCCUUCACUCUGGGAUAACGUUCAGAAAUGGGUGCUAAUACCGGAUGUACACAUGGUCUCGCAUGGGGUUGUGUGGAAAGAUUUUUUGGUGGGGGAUGUGCUCGCGGCCUAUCAGCUUGACGGUGGGGUAAUGGCCUACCGUGGCUUUGACGGGUAGCCGGCCUGAGAGGGUGACCGGCAACACUGGGACUGAGACACGGCCCAGACUCCUACGGGAGGCAGCAGUGGGGAAUAUUGGACAAUGGGCGGAAGCCUGAUCCAGCAACGCCGCGUGAGGGAUGACGGCCUUCGGGUUGUAAACCUCUUUCACCAUUGACGAAGCUGCAUCUUUUUGGGUGUGGUGACGGUAGGUGGGGAAGAAGCACCGGCCAACUACGUGCCAGCCGCCGCCGUAA
rnacentral:rRNA from 1 species